rnacentral:misc_RNA from 1 species
UGCAGCGUCUUACUAAUCU